GUUUUUCCAAAGCCUUCCAACAGCAACAUGAAGUUGGCAGCCUUCCUCCUCCUUGUGAUCCUCAUCAUCUUCAGCCUAGAGGUACAAGAGCUUCAGGCUGCAGGAGACCGGCUUUUGGGUGUCUGACCCGUCUCAACACAGCAUCAGACAGCCACCUCUAUUGACUGAAGUUGACAAUGGAGAAUAAAACUCAUUACCCCUGCUGAAUCCAGGGGCCCCUUUUUACAGAUGAGAAAAGUUCCAGAAAGACCCAGAGACAUAAUCAGGUACCUGCGUCGAGCUCUGCACAGGUGACUGGGACUGCAACCCGGGAGACCACUGUGUCAGCAAUGGGUGUGGCCAUGAGUGUGUUGCAGGGUAAGGACAGAUGAAGAGUUAUCUUAAGGAUCAUCUUUCUCUAAGAUCGUCAUCCCUUCCUGGAGUUCCUAUCUUCCAAGAUGUGACUGUCUGGAGUUCCUUGACUAGGAAGAUGGAUGAAAACAGCGAGCCUGUGGAUGGAGACUACAGGGGAUAUGGGAGGCAGGGAAGAGGGGUUGUUUCUUUUAAUAAAUCAUCAUUGUUA
rnacentral:lncRNA from 1 species